ensembl:lncRNA
GGACCCUGGGCCGUCUGCAUCUGUGGAUUACAGGCAGGCUCAGCGGCGAAGUGUGGCAACUCGGGCUCCUCCUCCUCCCCCUGCUGGCAGGAGCAGGACUCAAAAACGGAGAGACAUGAGGAGGAAGAGGAAGGACUUGAGGGAGGUUAUUGAAGCCAAACGCGUGGGUGGAACAGAUGUGCCUCACGUUAAAGGAAAGAGAUAAUUUUCCUUUCUCCUUCCUAUCCUAGCCCCCCCCCCCCUCACACCAUUGGGUUCUGAGGUAUUCACCACGCUUCACAUCGGGCCCUGAACUGAACCUAUGAUGUUUGAGCAGAUUUGUGUAGCUUACACUUUCUGUUAUACUGAGGUUCGGUGAAAGCCUGUAUCUGGUAGUGUGGUAGUAUAAGUUCUAUGCAGUGACAUUUGGUUUCGGCCCUUUGGUGGGCCACCUUGGUAAACUGUCAUAUAGCUGAGUAGGUUUGGUCUCCUCUCACUUAAGAGAGUCUUUCUGCUGAGGCCUCCGCUCAUCAGAGCUCCAGUUAGGCAGUGUAAUCAAGUGUUCGGCCCUCUGUGAGGCCGCCUUGAUGAACAGUCUUAUGUUGAGUAGGUUUGGCCUCCUCUCGCUUGAGAGAGUCAUUCUGCUGAGGCAUCCGCUCAUCAGAGCUCCAGUUAGGUUGAGUAGGUUUGGCUUCCUCUCGCUUAGAGAGUCAAUCUGCUGAGGCCUCCGCUCACCUGAGCUCCAGCUAGACUUGGAAUCAAGUGUUCGGCCCUCUGUGAGGCCGCCUUGAUAAACAGUCUUAUGUCGAGUAGGUUUGGCCUCCUCUCGCUUAAGAGAGUCAUUCUGCUGAGGCCUCCACUCACCAGAGCUCCAGUUAGGUUGAGUAGGUUUGGCUUCCUCUCGCUUAGAGAGUCAAUCUGCUGAGGCCUCCGCUCACCUGAGCUCCAGCUAGACUUGGAAUCAAGUGUUCGGCCCUCUGUGAGGCCGCCUUGAUAAACAGUCUUAUGUCGAGUAGGUUUGGCCUCCUCUCGCUUAAGAGAGUCAUUCUGCUGAGGCCUCCACUCAUCAGAGCUCCAGUUAGGUUGAGCAGGUUUGGCUUCCUCUCGCUUAGAGAGUCUUUCUGCUGAGGCCUCCGCUCAUAUAAGCUCUAGUUAGUGUAAUCAACUGUUCGGCCCUCUUUGAGGCCGCCUUGAUAAACAGUCUUAUGUUGAGUAGGUUUGGCCUCCUCUCAUGUAAGAGAGUCGUUCUGCUGAAGCCUCCACUCUCCAGAGCUCCGCAUAGGCAGUUUAAAGGUGCAGACUCUUCCUCUGAGCCUUACUAAUUGUCUAGUGUUGAGUGUAGCCAGGUCUCCUUUCGUUCCGAGAGUUGUUUGCUUGACCUCCACUCUGGAGCUCCAGACGUUGGUGGGUGAGCUAAUCUAUGACGUUCCUUUGAGUCUGACUCAGGGAAUCCAGUUGUUUGAGCUCGUCCCUCAGCAUGGCGGCGUUGAGAUAUCGUUCCCCUAGCGCCCUCUAGAGGACGCAGCGUGGAGUUCCCUUUCGAAAGGGAACGUCUCAGGUUACACAUGUAACCAUGGUUCCCUGAGAAUAGGGAACGAGACGCUGCGUCCCUCGGCCAUGCUUCGGACACUCCCGCUUCCUUCAGACAAAGAAGUGGAUGAUGUGUUCCACGGUGCCCUUUUUAUACCCGCAGUCGCAUUAUUGUUUACGUCACGGGC